rnacentral:lncRNA from 10 species
AUCAAAAUGCAUAUAUCCUUAGGAGAAGUAACAUUGACCUAGUAUCAGAUUAAAUUAGUUGACUCCUAAGAGCAAGUUUUUAUAAAGGUAGAUGAGGAGAACCAAAAGGUCGCUUGUCUCGGUUUAACAUGUUGGCUCCUUAAGCUGACUGCAGACUAACCCAAAUAUCUCUUCUUUACUGAAGUUAUCCUAAAGAGCGUAUUAGAUAGGACGUAUGAAUUCUGAAGUGAUCAACCACAUCAAAAUUCUCACUUCUGGGAAAACCUCAUUUUUAAGUAGAGAAGCUUUUGGUGCCUAGACUGACUAAGAAAUGAAGAUGAUGUCUAAGCAAGUGAAAGGGAACUUUGCUAGGUUGCAGACCUGCAUCUCAGAACUCCGCAUGUUACAGAGAGAAGGGUGUUUCAGAUCACAAGGUGCUUCUCUGCGGCUGGCAGUAGAGGAUGGGCUCCAGCAAUUCAAACAAUACAGCAGACAUGUGACCACAAGGGCAGCUCUGACCUAUACCUCCCUGGAGAUUACUAUUCUGACUUCUCAGCCUGGAAAAGAGGUGGUCAAACAGUUGGAGGAAGGGUUGAAAGAUACAG